GGGCGACACACUCACCAUGGGGCGCCGUUCUCAAAGAACGCCGGCAAGCACAGUGACAGAAACAAGGGACAUAGGAACCCUACUGCAGCGUCCAUCACAACCCAAGAUGGCGCACGCAGAAGGCCCAAGGACCUCUACUUCAAAUAGCCUCGAGGUAAUGGCGGACCCACAAGUGCAGCCCAAGGUCCCAGACAGGACUCUUACCAUAUCAGCACCACAAGAAGGGCAAGAACUUGCCACCAAACAAGACAUUCAGAAAUUCCUGCUGGACAUUAAACAAAUGCUAGCUGCUGAUACAGCCGUGCUCAAGGAGGA